rnacentral:lncRNA from 10 species
CCAGGGCCCAGACCCGAGGGCCUUUCCCCGGCCCAGGAUGAGGCACGGAGGGCUGUGCUGUUGGACCGAGAAAUGUCGCCGCAGGGGCUGUGGCAUACUGGCCUCUGUGGAACCCCCCCCCAGCCUGGCCUGAGGUGCCCUCCUGGCGACCUGAACCGCUUAACUCCUCCCAGAGGAGUCCGGGUAAUUCGGUCUCUGUGUUUACUCCUGCGGUGAGCGCCUCUGAAUCUUUCAUCUUGACUGCUGACUGUAUCAAAAUUCCCGUGGUAAUUGGAUCAGGUGCAGUAUUUUCCAUGAGGAUAUUAAAUCAGGCCUUCUGCCCAUGUCCAGAACGAUCCGUUUCAGAAUAUAAAGACGCAGGAGAUGGCAUUACCCAAGUUGUCCACAAGCCCUUGGCAGACCUCCCAGUUUUCACUUCCUGCCCUUGAAGCCUGCCUGCAGAGCAAGUGAUGUCUCCCCACCGAACAGAAGGGAAGAUCGAGACCCAGGCAUGCGGACAGAGAGCACAGGCUUAACAGAGCCUCUGAGCCAGACCUGGCAUCCUGGGAACCACCUAGACCAAUGCUCUUGCUGUCCACAUGGGGAACUGAGCCGCCCUAGAAGGGCAGAGCCCCACCCAAGAUACCACACAUGGAUUCCACCAGCACCACGGGGCCCGCUGGCACACAUGCCUAAGAGGCAGGGCUGUUCAUGAAUGGCCUGGAGCUGCUGCCCAGCCCUUUCCUACUCUGGGCACAUACAAAGCGAGUAGCCUCACCUGUUCCCUGAGAAGUGGGUCCGAGAAGUGUUCCUACAUGAAGAAUAUGCUGCUUCUAGGACCUGAAGAGGCCCACCAAGCAUUGUGCAUCUCGCUGAUAGAGACAGCGUGACUUUUACUUUGGAGGGUGCGAUGGUUCAUUUUACCUGUUCACCUGAGAGGCCACGCCACCCAGAUAUUUGGCCAAACAUGAUUCAAGAUGUUUCUGUGGAGGUAUUUCUUAGAUCAGAUUAAUGUCUAAAUCAGAACACUUUGAGGGAAGCGAAGGCAUAAAGUUGGUGGGCCUCCUCUAAUCGGUUGAAGACUUAGUAGGAAAAAGACUGAGCUCCCUGAGGAAAAGGGAAUUCUGCCAGCAGGCGGUACAGGAGCUUCAGCUCUUUCCCGGGUCUCCAGCCUGCUGGCCUAUCCUGCAGAUUUGGGACUUGUUGACUUCCAUAAUCAUGUAAGCCAAUUCCUUAAAAUAAAUCUCUCUCUCAAUUUCUUUAUUUAUUU